CAAGCUUCAAAAAUCAACGGAACAACUUAAAUUUUCCGAACUUGAGCAAAAAUUCCUAAAUUUUCCUAAUAAGAUGCCUUUAGCAUGCAAAAGUUCAUUAAUUGUCCAACAUGUUUAAUGGUAGAAUGCAAAAAAUGCCAAUGUGCUCAAACUUUACAGACAAUAAGAUGUCCUACUGACUAAAAAGGUGGUUGCAAAAUAUGAUUUUUAUUCCUUCUUAUAUCAGGAAAUAUGGAAUAGUCCAUUAUCAAAUGAUAGCUUCCCAGUUUAUGCGGAAAACAUUGAUGCCGGUAGUGACGCUUCUCCAUCAACUGGGAUGCUGCUGAAGUUACUCGUACUUUAAAGAUCACAAUAGUUGGUGGCUCUAUACCUGAAAGAUAGAUGCGGGGAUAAGUUGUAUAAUACGUGUUAUGUUUUUGAUACCACUGGAAUUCUAAAAGUUAAGCACAGAGGUAAUUUCUAACCAUGUGUUUCUUAUAUAUGUUAUCUGAACAUGUAGCUCAUAAUUCCAUAAGCAUGAUAAAUUUUAAUCUGGCUACUCGUGGAGCUGCUAAUCUUUAACUAUUUUAUAAUGGAUCUCAAAUUUCCAAGAAUGGGUUUGCUAGGCAUAUAUAGUGGUAAAAGGUUCUGCACUAUUCUGUUCUCAUAAUUUUCUUUGUAGUAAUCGCUACACAACAAUUCUUGGUAAGAAACUCCGUGUCUGUUUAGACUCAUGAAGAGCUAAUGCUCUGGCUUUAAGGAUCUAUAUACGAUUUUAAAAGGACAAACAUUUUAAUUAAUUUUUUUCUAUCUAAAUCAAAUGUUAACAUCUAAGUCAACAUUUUAUAAAGGACUUGAUAUACGGUAUGAGUAUCCUUUUGAAGAUCUGGAAUGUUGGUGGAACAGAUUUCUAACACAUGGCACAUAUAUACGAGUACAUGACAUAGACACCUUUUUGAUAUUGAUAUUCCUGGGAAGAUUACCUUCAAAGAGUCAAAGACUCUUACAGCAGGGGAGACUCCAACUAUUGUUGAUACAGGUUCAUUCUCUUAAUUUUACUGAUGAAUAUUAUGUUUACCUCUCUUUCUCAUUGAGCUAAUUAUGAAAAGAAAGUUUGUCCCAUGUCUGCAUUUUGUUCUCACAUCUAUUGAUUUUUGUGUUAGUGUAGAUCCUUAAUAACUAUAUUCAGCUCUCGAUGUUUCCUUUCAUGCAUCUAAAAUUGUUAACAUGUCUUUCUGUAGUAUCAACCACAAAUAAAGUUUGAAAUAUUAACUCAAAUAAUGUAACCUUAGCUUACUAGGAGUAGAACCACACAUUAUCAAGCAAAAGAUACAUUAGAGGUUGAUUUUUCUGAGCACAUCUUGCUCAAGAACCGGCACAUAACAUCCCAAUUUUUGUGUUAAUUCUAUGCUAACUGAAAAUUGUGACAAUUCAAAUCAAACAAUCUAUACAUUGUGCUAAAGUUGGGUACACUGUAAAUUCAAAUAUAGCGUAAAAGAAGUAUGAAUUUAGAGUGUGUUGGGGUAUUCAAACUUACCAAAAGGAGUGUAAACUUCUUUAAAAAAUAGAUGUGGAAGAGAUGAGUAGGAGUGUAACACCAAGCUAACAUAUCUAGUGCAAGCAACCCAAGAUGAUGGAUGAUGGAUGAUGGAUGAUGGUAGAGAGGGAUGUGCAAGUGUGUAUGUGUGUGUGUGAGAGAGAGAGGGUCUCGGUGUUACAAGCCUACAUAGUAAGGAUUAAUAACUGCAUUACCUUAACAAAUAGAUUGACAUGUGGAUAAAAUGAACAUCCACAGAACAUCAUGUUGAUGGUCAAGGAAGUGACAUGUGUAGCCAGGAAGGACAACAUCUUGCACAAAAUUGUAACAGAAUCCUAAGGACAUCCUCGUUCAGUGAAGCGCUUUGGGCCAAGAGCAAGUGGUCGAGGCAGGGAUUGUUAAAUGCGAGUGCCCAAAAGUUAUUGGGAUGAUUUAAGUUAUGUGGAUUGGAAAUUAGAAUAAGAAGCUCAUUGAGAGUGCCAAGCCAGUCCCUUGGGUCCUACUCAAGGUUGCUGGAUUCAAAAUCCCCUAGAUAAACGAGAAAGAGAGAGAGAGUGAAAUGACGACGGAAAUACAGAUCAGAGUUAGUUUUAUAUAGUUUGAUAAUGAAAUACUCCCCCCG
rnacentral:lncRNA from 1 species